UAAAAGACAGUAAAUAAAGUAGCAUAACUAGUAUAGCAGUAAUAGUAUAGUAAGAAGUAUAUAUACUAUAGCAGUAUAGUAUGAAGUAAAUUAAAUACUAAGGCUAGUUUAGCAAUAGUAAAGCUAGUAUAGAAACGAAGAGACUUUUCUUUUGGUGUGCAACACACUGUGAGUUUAAAGUUUGUUUUAGAAUUGGGGUUUGUGCUGUCUGGAAAAAGAUGAAAAAGGCUUUUUCCAGUGUCAUUCUUUUUAACAUCAAGGCAUUGCUGGAAUAACCUGAAGCAACAUUAAAAAUAUGCAAGAGUCUCUUUCUAGAACUACAGCUUUAACAGUUUUAGUAACAGUUCCUUCUAUGGUACUUUUCCUCCAGAAAAUUGUGUAUGUUUACUUUUCUACUUAAAAAAUACAUCAAAUGCAUUCUUCCAUGACAGAAAAUAUAGCAAAGUAAUCUUUGCCUUCAGAUCAUACCACUUGAUCCAGAGUUGGAGAGUCAGCUGAAUUAAAAUUCUUAUAAUAAGCCACAGAGAAAUGACUAAUAUCAUGGUAAACAUAAUCUCCAUAGCUCUUGCUGGAACCAUCAGCACUCUCUGAAAUCGAAUGUUAUUACUAUUAAUCAUCAAUAUCCUCUACCUUGGGAUGUAAUUUCUAAGGUGAUUUUCUCAUCAGUACUUCUUUUUUCAGUUUUGGUUCCUUAUCUAGACUUCUUUAUCCUUGCCAUAAUAUUUAUAAUGUUCCACACAGGAACUGUAAUUAAACCUUUUCUUUGCUCUGUGCCUUCAGCCUCUAAUGCAUUGUAUAAUUAUAGUCCUAAAGUAGAAGAGUGAGAAUCCACUAAUGUAAACUUCUGGGAAGGUUUCCAGAAGUACAUUCUGAUUUGAAUCAUGUAAUCAAUUGCAGUGACAGACGACUAUGCUUAUAAUGGUAUUCCAAGAUCCCUCUGCAGAUAUCGCGGGAAUCUCGGACUCCUGUGACAUAGAAUUUGUAAAAUGGAGCUCUUGGUGAAAGAAUCUGAAGUCUGAGGAUGCUUAUGACCACUUCUCUUUCCACUUCUUCGUAACUGAACCUACAUCUAUUUUUAAUUGGUAUGAAGGCUUAUAGGAGGCGGAAGCAGCUCAGGAGAUAACGCUGAUGGAUUAGUGGAAUGAGAAACUUGUUCUGAAGACAGCUUUGCUGCUGAUCCUGUUUGUCACACUUGAACAAAAAGAAGGUGGGAAAACAUCAGCCUUCACCACAGCUGCUACAGUUCAGUCCCAGCUCCUCCUUCUGAUUUGCAGCCAUUUUCUUCACCGUUUAAAUGACAACUCAAAUGCAAGAAUGCAGGAAGAGCAAGAAGCCAAAAUGUCAGAGAACUGCUGCUUUCCCCCACACCUCCAGCACUCUGCCACUUCCCAGCUCGGUGGCAGUGACUACAAUAACUACCUUCUUGGACUUGCCUAUGACUCGUGAUUGCUUUUGCAUAACCACAAUAAGGAACACCCACACAGAGCCCAUCAGUGAGUUCAGAAAUGGAAGCAGAAAGCAGUUUUUUUAUUUCUUACGAAAUACUACAUGUCUGGAAAAAAAAGAAAAUCACCUCAAAACCCCAAACCACUACUUGACCCACGAUUAAUUGUUCAGUGUCAUGUUUUCAAGGACUGUUUAAAUUUAUUUUGGAGAGGAAUUCUCUUGAAUAUUGAGCAGAUAGGAAACAGUCAGAGAGUCUGCAAAACAAUUUGAUUUUAAGAAAUUACUGAGAGCUUACAGAUUUUAGGGAAUCAGAUUCACUACAACCUGCUGAUGGCAAAGAUAUAGAGAAUAAAGAAGAUUGAGUAUUACAGUGCCUAGGCAGCUGGCACCUCCUUUAUGCCAAACACCUUAUAGCUUUCCCUAGCACACAUUACCCUGCUUACCCCUGAUGAAGUGCAAACAAAUUCAUGAAAAUAUAACUACUAGAGGAACUCUGAGAAACAUAGACAUAAAUAACUGAGAAAACAUCAUGACUUGCAGCCAGGCUCAAAAAAGGGAAUAACUACAAUUGCUGGUCUGAAAAUUCUUCUCUAGAUCUUUUGGGUUUCUAUCUGUAGGACAUGUAUGAAGCUCUACUGCACAAAGACCAUGAACUCUCAGUGACCAAACUAUUUUCUUUUAGAAUCUGAGGCACAUAAUUUCUUACUAUCUACUGAAGUCUCAUACACAAAAGCUAAAGGCUUAGAUCAGGGCCUUGUGAACACAUCACUCUAUUUUUUUGAAAUCAGCACAGUAAGUAAAGCAGAAUUUUAUCUUCUGGAACUGCUCAGAGACAAAGGGCAAAGUCACCAUAAUUCUUCCUGCAUCCAUCACUUCACUGUAUUUGAAGAGUACAAUGAGGUAAAAUGAAAAUUAUAAGCUUUUAAGAAACUAGAUUUUUUUAAAUUAUCUUUUUGCUAGUUUGCUUUAACUUCUAAGCAACCUCAUGUAGAGACAGAAAAUUGAAUGAUGAAGCACCUGAAAUACACCACAGACAGUGUGCAUCGCUCCACUUGACUACUUCUUUAAAAGUAAAGUCAAUUUUCUUUUCUGCUUGUAAAAAAAUAAUAAUGAAAUGUAUUUAUUCCCUGAACUGGCUGAUAUACCAAAAGCUGCAAGUUCCAGUUUAAUUUACUUGAUAAUAAACUUUAGCAGGGACACAGUAUGUAAUACUCAAAAAGGAAAUUAGCAUGUCACUUACUGAACAGGAUAAUAUUCACUAGACGUGUGGGUAUCUUUUGUAUUCUCCUCAUUCCUUGGCUUUUUCACCUCUAUUCUCAGCCCUUUAUGCUAAGAGAGAAACAUGAAUGCUUAUCCGCAAACACACCUUUGUAGUUCUCAUUUCUUGUAUAAAUCAGCAACUUGUAACAAGUGUCAGAACUGGCAAUAUUUUUCAUGAUCCAUGCCCUCAAUUAACAACAUUCCAGUGGCAUCAAUGCUAGGAUGGAUUUCUUCCUGAUUUCCUCUUAAUGGGAUCCAGAGUCAGAAACUCAGGAUGUACAAAGCUGUGCAAUGCUUCCCCCACUCCUUUCAUUUUGCUUUUCAGUAACACUUUCAAAAAAUCUUUAUUAGUAUUUCAUGCUUGUUAUUGCUUGUGGCAAUAUUGUCCAAGACAGAGAAGUAAGCUGAGGUUUAGAAAUAACUAAAUCUUGGAGGGAUUCCCAAGUUUAUUCUGUCAACAUUUGCAGGCUUGAAAUGUAGCAUUUUCACAGCUCAUCCUGCUGCUCCUCCUUGCUCUCUCCGUGUAGAUACUCCCUGCACUGCCACUGAAGCCAAAGCAUCAAGGAUGAGCAGUUCAGUGUCUGCAUUGCAGGAAACCUCUUGUGGGCCAGAAGCUUUUCACAGUGCUAGUUGCAAAACUAAAGACAACAGUCCCUGAGUUGCUUAAUAAUGUUCCUGCCUCUAAAUGAAACAAUCUUCAAUUGUUCUCCUAAAAAAUAUUUUUAAAGAUUACUUUUGCAGAUUCAAUACUUCAUGACUUUGUGACUGUCUUCCAGUAGAAUGUUGAUUACUGUAACUGAAAUUUCAGUUCUCAUCUUUGCAUUAAUAUCUAGCAAUAAUUAGCGAAAGCAUAACUUCAGCUGUGAAUGGCAUUGCUGACUUGGUGAUGGCUGUUAUAAACAAAUAAAACUUUUUCCUUAAGACAGUCUUUACUGCAGAGGUCAUGUGCUGCCUCACACAACUAAGACAACUCUCUUGUGUU